rnacentral:tRNA from 1 species
GCCUAGCUGGCUCAGUCAGUAGAGCAUGCGACUCUUGAUCUCAGGGUUGUGAGUUCAAGCCCCACACUGGGUG